UAAUGUUGUGAAGCUCUAGCGCCGAAAAGUGACUGUGAAAACAGUCGCUAGUGGUCUGGGAGUCGUUCUACCUAGAGGCUCUCAGACUGCGACACUGUCAAAUUGCGGGGACAUCCUAAAGCUGCCGAGUGCCAAGCCGAUUCCUGGAAACGGGACGGUGGCCGGGGAGAGAGACCCCGGGUACGGCAACAACCUCAGCAGAUGUUUACAAUGGACAAUCCGCAGCCAAGUCCUAAUAGGAGAUGCUCUGUUUCUCAACAAACACGAGAGCUCCUGAUGGAUGCUGUUCACAGACUAAAUGGCAGUGGGCGCGUUUGAUCACAAACGUGCUUGAGAUAUAGUCGGCCCCCGGUCGAAAGGCCGGCCUGUUGGAGGAUGGAGCUAGGUCCGGAGAGCCAACAGGGAGGAUGGACAAAAUACUUGUACAAGUUGCAAGGGCGUUUUGGUUCGCCUCCGUCCUCGGAGCAAGCG
rnacentral:misc_RNA from 1 species